GACAGAGGAUGCAAGCGUUAUCCGGAAUGAUUGGGCGUAAAGCGUCUGUAGGUGGCUUUUUAAGUCCGCCGUCAAAUCCCAGGGCUCAACCCUGGACAGGCGGUGGAAACUACCAAGCUGGAGUACGGUAGGGGCAGAGGGAAUUUCCGGUGGAGCGGUGAAAUGCGUAGAGAUCCGGAGGAACACCCGUGGCGAAGGCGGCCCCCUGGGCCGCGCCUGACGCUGAGACGCGAAAGCGCGGGGAGCGAACGGG
rnacentral:rRNA from 1 species